UGGGGAAUAUUGCACAAUGGGCGCAAGCCUGAUGCAGCCAUGCCGCGUGUGUGAAGAAGGCCUUCGGGUUGUAAAGCACUUUCAGCGAGGAGGAAGGUGGUGAACUUAAUACGUUCAUCAAUUGACGUUACUCGCAGAAGAAGCACCGGCUAACUCCGUGCCAGCAGCCGCGGUAAUACGGAGGGUGCAAGCGUUAAUCGGAAUUACUGGGCGUAAAGCGCACGCAGGCGGUUUGUUAAGUCAGAUGUGAAAUCCCCGGGCUCAACCUGGGAACUGCAUUUGAAACUGGCAAGCUAGAGUCUCGUAGAGGGGGGUAGAAUUCCAGGUGUAGCGGUGAAAUGCGUAGAGAUCUGGAGGAAUACCGGUGGCGAAGGCGGCCCCCUGGANGAAGACUGACGCUCAGGUGCGAAAGCGUGGGGAGCAAACAGAUUAGNUACCCUGGUAGUCA
rnacentral:rRNA from 1 species